rnacentral:lncRNA from 1 species
AUGUCUGAAAGCAUAAAUCCUAAAACAGCUGAGUUUUUCAUGUGGAACAGACCCACAGGUGUGCUGCGUUUGGUUACUGUAGCAGUUUGUGUCACCGGUGGUGUGCUGCGUUUGGUUACUGUAGCAGUUUGUGUCACCGGUGGUGUGCUGCGUUUGGUUACUGCUGUAGUUAGUGUCACCGGUGUUGUGCUGCGUUUGGUUACUGUAGCAGUUUGUGUCACCAGUGGUGUACUGCGUUUGGUUAAUGCUGUAGUUAGUGUCACCGGUGGUGUGCUGCGUUUGGUUACUGCUGUAGUUAGUGUCACCGGUGGUGUGAUGCAUUUGGUUACUGCUGUAGUUAAUGUCACCGGUGGUGUGCUGCAUUUGGUUACUGCUGUAGUUAGUGUCACCGGUGUUGUUGUGCUGCGUUUGGUUACUGUAGCAGUUUGUGUCACCAGUGGUGUACUGCGUUUGGUUAAUGCUGUAGUUAGUGUCACCGGUGGUGUGCUGCGUUUGGUUACUGCUGUAGUUAGUGUCACCGGUGGUGUGAUGCAUUUGGUUACUGCUGUAGUUAAUGUCACCGGUGGUGUGCUGCAUUUGGUUACUGCUGUAGUUAGUGUCACCGGUGGUGUGCUGCGUUUGGUUACUGCUGUAGUUAGUGUCACCGGUGUUGUGCUGUGUUUGGUUACAUGUAUAGUUUCUGCUCCUGGUGGUACAGCUCCUUGCUCUCCAUGCUCCUCUCCAGCAGUGUGUGGUUCUGCUGACUCAGCAGGUUGAUCUGACUCAGGAGGUGGUGGUUCUCCUCCUCCAGGUUCCCUUUCAGUCGACUCAGCAACUACACAACACACACACACACUUUAAUCUCACACACUCCUGUGCUGCAUGUGUUGACUCAUACCACCAGCUGAUAUCCAGGUUUACCUCACAGUGGUUGUCUAGUUUGGUCAUGGUGAGGUCCAGGUUCUGGUGCUGCUCCAUCAGCGAAUCGUAUCGGGCCAUCCACUGACUCGCUUCCAUCUGAGUUGAACUUAACGAGCCCUUCAGCUCGUUAACUCGCUGCUGAAGCCCUUCAUUCUGCUCUGUGUGCUGUGAUUGGCUCAGUGCCAGCCUGGAUACAACAGGAGGAGGAGCCUUAGCUCAGGUGUGAAUUUGAAACUUUUACAGACAGAAGACUCAGGGUUCAGGUACCUGUCCACCUCUGUUUUCAGCUGCAGAUUCUCCUGCUGCAGGAGACGACUCUUCUGGAUCUCCUGCUUUAACUCCUCCUUUUCUUUUUGGCCACGCCCUUCCUGCUCCUCCCAUUUCUCCUUCAGUUGCAAUAAUGUACAACACCUGCAGGCAGAUGAAGUUAGUCACUACCAGCUGCACAAAGAUCACGUGCCUCAGGGAUCUGAAGAAUGACUGAUAUUUCUUAUUUUGUCCUCUAGAGACGUGUCCGCAGGUCCACUUCCUGUUGGGACAGGACGAAGGAGAAUCUGUACACGUACUUGCUGUGCAGCGUCCGGUGCUCGCUCUCCAGCGCCCUCUGUUUGCCUUUCAGCGCUGCGUGCUGGCUGAUGAGCUGCUCGUACUCCUGAGCCUGCCUCUCGUGAACGCUCAGCAGGCGUUCGUGAUCGCUGAGCACGCUCUCUCGUGCUCGCCACGCCUCCUCACGCUGCCUCUGCCAUGACUCCACCUCCGUCUCCAAGGCAGUGACCUGGCCUUGCAGCACAGCAUUCUGGGCCAUGAGAGAAGCACUCUGGGAGGAGAUGGUGGUGUUCUCCACCUGAUGGAUGAGAGAUCAGUAAGAACUCUGGGAUCAAGGGGAAUCUGUCUGAGGUGGAGCGAGCAGCACCUGGAGCUUUGCUGUCUGAGUGUGUAGCGCCGAGUUCUGCUCCUGUAGCGUGGUGGUGUGACGCUGCAGCGCCACCAUCUGGUUGUUCAGAGAAGUGUUCUGGUUCUCCAUCUGUUUGAGCUGCUCCUUUAGCAGGCUGCUCUCCGUCUGCAGGGAGGCAUUCUGCAACAACAACCACAAAACCCUCAUUCAGACCUAAACGGAUGUUUCAGGGUUGAUCUGGAGUCUGAAUCCAUCUCACAUUCUUUUCCACGGAGAUGAGAUGAUCUUUGAUCCUCAGCAGCUCGGCCGUGGCGUUGCGGUCGCUCCCUGGUCGCUGCUGAGAGAUUUCAUCUUCCUGCUGCUGGCGCAGAGCCAACACCGUCUCACGGACCUGCAAACACACGUUCAUGGAUACGUCUGCUCUGGAGACCAGGUCUGGAUCAGGACUGUAACAGAACCACACCAUGGUCAGCUCAUUCCGUAGAGCAGCGUUCAGCGUGUUGCUCUCCUCUAGUUUCUUCUCCAAACUGGAGAUCUUCUCUUCCUUCAUCUUCAUCGUCUGUUGGACAGUUUCCUCCAGCCGAGACUCCAGCAGCUGGUACCGGCUGAAAGGUCCAUCAGAAACAAACUGAACAUCCGGUCAGGAACAAUUUUUCUCCGUCAGCCUCCUGGGAUGAGUUUCCAGUUACCUGCCCUCCAGCGUGAGCUCCUGCUGCAGCAGCUUCUCUCGGUUCAGACCCAUCUUCUCCAGCUCCUCAUUCAGCCGUUCCAAUUCCACGUUCUGCUGCUGCACACUCAGCUUCUCAGACACCAAGUCCUACACACACACACACACACACACACACACACACACACACACACACACACACACACACUCCUAUGAUCACGACUGAUAAACCAGGAGGUGGGUAUGCUGGGUGACCUUUGACCCUGUCUAGAUGCUCCUGUGUGGACCCUGAAGACUGAAGACCUCACGCACACACACACACACACACAAACACUCACCUCUCUCAGCGUCGCCAGCGUUUUCUUGUCGAUCGUCGCGCGUUUCUGCAGUUCCUUGUUCUCACGCUCCAGCUCCUUGGCUCUGACAGACACCUCCUUCAGUCUCUCUGCCUCCUUCUUUAGGACCUCCCCCUCCUUGGCGGCUGCCUUCAGUCGGCUGGAUUUCUCCUCCAGCUCCGACUCUUUGGUCUCCAGCAGCGUUCGGAUCCUCCAGCUCUCCUUCUCCAGAUGCUUCCUGCUUUUCUCUGACUGCUCCAGAUCCAGCCGGAGCUUCUUUCUCUCUUCAUCUCCCUCCUCCCUUCUUCUCCGCUCCUCCUUCAGUUCCUCUACUUCCCUCCUCAGUUCCUCUUCUCUGCUUUGAGUCUCUCUCAGCUUCCCGUCUGCCUCCCCCUUCUCCUCUUUGCUCCUCUCCAGCUCCUCAUUUAAUUGGAGCUUCUCCUGGUUCAAAACAGACAUGUUCACCUCUAGCCUCUCGCUUCUCUUUCUCUCUCCCCGCGCCUCCUCUUUGGCCUCCUCUAGCCUUCUCUGGAGCUCCUGGGUCUCCCUCUGCAUCUCCUUCAGCUCCUCCUGUAGUAUUGGCAGGCGGGCAGAUGAGGAGCGCAGGUUUUCCAUGGAGCAACGGAGUUCCAGGUUUUCCUUGGACAGCAGGCCAUUCUCCAUCUCGUGUUUUGCCAGCCGCUGCAGCUCCCGUUGCACCUCCUCAGCCUCUCGCUUCAGCUUGUGCACCUCCUGCUCCAGGGAGGUCACUUGCUUCUCCAGCG